rnacentral:lncRNA from 1 species
UUAUUUUAAAAAUUGUGAAUUUUAUUUGAUUGAAAUGGAUUAAGUCAUCUAAAAACAAUAUUAUAGGCAUUUUAAUUUAUUUAAAUAGUGUGUGCUUCUUUGAUUCGAUCCGGACCAUCAAUUCGAAUUAAUCAAUGGUCCAUGUUAAGCAAUCCAUGUUUUUUCUUUUUCAUCCAAUCAAAAGAUAGAAAUAAAUUGAAUAAUAAUUAUAAAAAAUGAAAAUAAGAGAAAACUCUCUUCUUCCAACGGUAACAAAAAAUAAUAUUAAAAAAAGAAAAGAAAAAGUAAUAAAAGACUCUCACUGAA